ACCUUACCUUUCAUGUGGGUUUUCUGUAUUGGAAAGGAAUUGGUAUUUACACCCACUAUUUUGAAAGAAAACACCAUUUUUUUUUCUAUUUUUAACAAUACAAUAUACCACUUUGCACUAUUCUAUUACCCAAAGUAGAAAAAAUUGUGUGAAAUAGCUAUAUACACUGGCCCUUGGUUCAUGUACACCUAUAUAUACAUAUGUAUUUAUGUAUGAGAAGUUCUAAAUCAAAGCGGCUUGAAGCAAGUUUACCAUCCGCCCAGUGAAUAACUUCCAACCUAUCACAUUUUUACAACAUCCAACCCUUCCAAUAGUUUGGUCCCACUAUGAGGAUCAAUGUUUACAAACAUCAGACCUAUCCACUUAUCAGGUGGGCCACAUCAUAGAAACAAUGUAUAGCCAUUGAUAAAUGAAAAAAUGCAGCUGUGGUCCACUCCAUGAGUGGAUGUGGCUGAUUUUAAUUAUAUGUGAUUUUCAUAGUGUGAACAAUUUAUUGGACUGCUUGGAUUUCACACGCACGUAAAAUUUUGAAAGUUACCUGCCGGAUGGACUGUAACUUAUGGUCCAUCUGGUUGUAUUGAGACUUUGUACGUAUAUAUACGUAUGCAUGCAUGCGUAUACGUUCAAGAUGGCUAAUGAAAUUCGUUUUUUCCCUUUUAUGUACUGUUGUUUGGUCAGAUUUAAUUUGGAGGAUGAGAAGUAUGAGAUCAAAAGAAGAGCUGUCUCAUUUCAAAUUCCAACUGAUUACCAAGAAGUGGGCCACGCCCAUCUCCAUGAAUGCAAGAACUGGAAUCUUUGGUGUCGACAGAAUCUUCGUCAAUGGAAUUAAGGAAGAUUUCUCAUUAAUACACUUUCGUGCCUAAGUCAGGCUCUAUCCUACCUGAGCUUUUUAUCCCUCCACCAUCCAUCUUUUUUCUUUUAAUACUUGCUUCCUUCUCUACAUCACUUUCAUCUCCUUCUUUCUUAUCAUCUUCUUUCACGACCUCAUGGUGUUAGUUUUCUUGACCUUGUAAGACCUUUUCUUGACCUUGUAAGACCUCUGGUCACACUUACUAUCUUUAUUUUUAUCUGGGCCAUCGUCAUUCUUUAAAAGGCAUCGCUUGCAAGAACGACUUUCACUUUUCUCCAAUCUUAUCUUAUCCAUCUUCUUCACCUCCGGCUAUCCCUCGUGAGCUACUGUAUAUCAUGUUUGGAUGUACAAAUGAAUUGAAUUGAAAAUUCUCAGUUACA